AUUGAACGCUGGCGGCAGGCCUAACACAUGCAAGUCGAAUGGUAACAGGAAACAGCUUGCUGUUUCGCUGACGAGUGGCGGACGGGUGAGUAAUGUCCGGGAAACUGCCUGAUGGAGGGGGAUAACUACUGGAAACGGUAGCUAAUACCGCAUAACGUCGCAAGACCAAAGAGGGGGACCUUCGGGCCUCUUGCCAUCAGAUGUGCCCAGAUGGGAUUAGCUAGUAGGUGGGGUAACGGCUCACCUAGGCGACGAUCCCUAGCUGGUCUGAGAGGAUGACCAGCCACACUGGAACUGAGACACGGUCCAGACUCCUACGGGAGGCAGCAGUGGGGAAUAUUGCACAAUGGGCGCAAGCCUGAUGCAGCCAUGCCGCGUGUAUGAAGAAGGCCUUCGGGUUGUAAAGUACUUUCAGCGGGGAGGAAGGGAGUAAAGUUAAUACCUUUGCUCAUUGACGUUACCCGCAGAAGAAGCACCGGCUAACUCCGUG
rnacentral:rRNA from 1 species